CCCUUAGAUGUUCUGGGCCGCACGCGCGCUACACUGAUGCAUUCAACGAGUCUAAAACCUGGUCUGAUAGGGCUGGGUAAUCUUUUGAAAGUGCAUCGUGAUUGGGACAGAUGAUUGCAAUUCUUCAUCUUCAACGAGGAAUGCCUAGUAAACGCAAGUCAUCAGCUUGCAUUGAUUACGUCCCUGCCCUUUGUACACACCGCCCGUCGCUCCUACCGAUUGAAUGAUCCGAUGAAUACCAUGGAUUGAGAGUACGAAUGGGUUCGCUCAUUUCUGCUGCUCGAGAAGUGGAGUAAAUCUUAUCAUUUAGAGGAAGGAGAAGUCGUAACA
rnacentral:rRNA from 1 species